UUUGGCAUCUUGAAGCCACCUUCAGGACCCUCUAUAUUAACAUCAGGACCUUCAAUGUCUACUUUUGGAGCCUUAAUGUCACCUUCUAUCUUUGGUACAGAAACAUCCAUAUCACCCUUGACUUUGGGGCCUUUAAGAUUUAGGUUUACAUCUGGCAUAGAGAUCUUUGGACCAGAUAUGGUAGGCAUUUUGAACUUGGGACCCUUGAUUUUUCCCUCUGGUCCCUCAAUGUCAAGAUCAGGUGUUUUGAUGUCAAAUUCAGGUCCUUUGAUGUCAAAAUCAGCUUUUGGCAGAUUUACAUCAACAUCUGGGCCCUCAACUUUAGGACCUUUGAGUCCAAAUGAUGGCAUUUUUAUUUUUGGCAUCUUUAAACCACCUUCAA